UACGGAGGGUGCAAGCGUUAAUCGGAAUUACUGGGCGUAAAGGGUGCGUAGGCGGUUCGUUAAGUCUGUCGUGAAAUCCCCGGGCUCAACCUGGGAAUGGCGAUGGAUACUGGCGAGCUAGAGUGUGUCAGAGGAUGGUGGAAUUCCCGGUGUAGCGGUGAAAUGCGUAGAGAUCGGGAGGAACACCAGUGGCGAAGGCGGCCUUCUGGACCAAUACUGACGCUCAUGCACGAAAGCGUGGGGAGCAAACAGG
rnacentral:rRNA from 1 species